rnacentral:rRNA from 1 species
AGAGUUUGAUCCUGGCUCAGAUUGAACGCUGACGGCGUGCUUAACACAUGCAAGUCGAACGAGAAAGGGACUUCGGUCCUGAGUACAGUGGCGCACGGGUGAGUAACGCGUAGGUAAUCUACCUCUGCAUCUGGGAUAACACUUCGAAAGGGGUGCUAAUACCGGAUACACUUAUCGAUCGCAAGGUUGAUAAGGAAAGGAGACCUCUCCUUGGAAGUUUCUGUGUAGAGAUGAGCCUGCGUCCCAUUAGCUAGUUGGUAGGGUAAUGGCCUACCAAGGCGACGAUGGGUAGCGGGUCUGGGAGGAUGAUCCGCCACACUGGAACUGAAACACGGACCAGACUCCUACGGGAGGCAGCAGUGAGGAAUAUUGGACAAUGGGCGCAAGCCUGAUCCAGCGACGCCGCGUGAGUGAUGAAGGCCUUUGGGUCGUAAAGCUCUGUCAGCAGGGAAGAACGGCCCUACGGUUAAUACCCGUAGGGAUUGACGGUACCUGCAGAGGAAGCACCGGCUAACUCCGUGCCAGCAGCCGCGGUAAUACGGAGGGUGCGAGCGUUAAUCGGAAUUACUGGGCGUAAAGGGCGCGUAGGCGGCCGAUCAAGUCAGAUGUGAAAGCCCACGGCUUAACCGUGUGAAGUGCAUCUGGAACUGGUUGGCUUGAGUAUCGGAGAGGAAAGUGGAAUUCCCGGUGUAGAGGUGAAAUUCGUAGAUAUCGGGAGGAAUACCGGUGGCGAAGGCGACUUUCUGGACGAAUACUGACGCUGAGGCGCGAAAGCGUGGGGAGCAAACAGGAUUAGAUACCCUGGUAGUCCACAGCUGUAAACGAUGUGCACUAGAUGUGGGGAAGUGUUGACCUUUCCUGUGUCGCAGCUAACGCAUUAAGUGCACCG